rnacentral:lncRNA from 1 species
GUGCACAUGGGAGACUCCAGGUGCAGGAGAGGGGGAGGUGGACUUCCUCUUGGUCUUCCCAAGCCAUGAAACUUCCUGGCUUGGUGGUAACAGAAGAGUCUCCUCCAGGACGGACUAGCCAGUCCUAACACAGGACUAGCGUUGCUCUACCACGUCCAAGCCUCCUCUGAGAUUCUUCCUCCAUGCAACCACUUCCCCUGGGGCGUGGCCACCUCCCUGGAAGCCGCCAGCAUGCUCGGCUGGGCCCCCGCACUCUGGAGGCUUGAGAAUCUCUCUAUUUUUGAAUGACGUCCUUAUCCUCUGCCCCCAGGCUGUUCCCUUGAAGAAUCCACCUUCCUGCAGGGUUGGGGGAGCGCAGAAUGGGAGGAAGAUACAAAUACCAAUUUUAUAGCAAGAAUGCAAAAAGAGGCCAGCGCGGUGGCUCGAGCCUGGAAUCCCAGCACUUUGGAAGGCGAGCUGGGCGGAUCACUUGAGGUCAGGAGUUCGAGACCAGCCUGACCAACAUGGAGAAACCUCAUCUCUAUGAAAAAUACAAAAAAAAAAAUUAGCCAGGUGUGGUGGCAUGCACCUAUAAUCCUAGCUGAGGCAGGAGAAUUGCUUGAACCUGGGAGGCAGAGGUUGCAGUGAGCUGAGAUCAUGCCACUGCAUGCCAGCCUGGGCAACAGAGUGAAACUAUCUCAAAAAGUAAAAAAAAAAAAAAAAAAAAAUUAAAAAGACAAAAUGGUUAAGAACCAGCUUUUUACACCCAAAA